rnacentral:rRNA from 1 species
UUCGGCGUGCUUAACACUUGCAAGUCGAACGGAAAGGCCCUGCUUUUGUGGGGUGCUCGAGUGGCGAACGGGUGAGUAACACGUGAGUAACCUGCCCUUGACUUUGGGAUAACUUCAGGAAACUGGGGCUAAUACCGGAUAGGAGCUCCUGCUGCAUGGUGGGGGUUGGAAAGUUUCGGCGGUUGGGGAUGGACUCGCGGCUUAUCAGCUUGUUGGUGGGGUAGUGGCUUACCAAGGCUUUGACGGGUAGCCGGCCUGAGAGGGUGACCGGCCACAUUGGGACUGAGAUACGGCCCAGACUCCUACGGGAGGCAGCAGUGGGGAAUAUUGCACAAUGGGCGGAAGCCUGAUGCAGCAACGCCGCGUGCGGGAUGACGGCCUUCGGGUUGUAAACCGCUUUCGCCUGUGACGAAGCGUGAGUGACGGUAAUGGGUAAAGAAGCACCGGCUAACUACGUGCCAGCAGCCGCGGUGAUACGUAGGGUGCGAGCGUUGUCCGGAUUUAUUGGGCGUAAAGGGCUCGUAGGUGGUUGAUCGCGUCGGAAGUGUAAUCUUGGGGCUUAACCCUGAGCGUGCUUUCGAUACGGGUUGACUUGAGGAAGGUAGGGGAGAAUGGAAUUCCUGGUGGAGCGGUGGAAUGCGCAGAUAUCAGGAGGAACACCAGUGGCGAAGGCGGUUCCUUCUGGGCCUUUCCUGACGCUGAGGAGCGAAAGCGUGGGGAGCGAACAGGCUUAGAUACCCUAGUAGUCCACGCUGUAAACGGUGGGUACUAGGUGUGGGGUCCAUUCCACGGGUUCCGUGCCGUAGCUAACGCUUUAAGUACCCCGCCUGGGGAGUACGGCCGCAAGGCUAAAACUCAAAGGAAUUGACGGGGCCCCGCACAAGCGGCGGAGCAUGCGGAUUAAUUCGAUGCAACGCGUAGAACCUUACCUGGGUUUGACAUGGAUCGGGAGUGCUCAGAGAUGGGUGUGCCUCUUUUGGGGUCGGUUCACAGGUGGUGCAUGGCUGUCGUCAGCUCGUGUCGUGAGAUGUUGGGUUAAGUCCCGCAGCGAGCGCAACCCUUGUUCACUGUUGCCAGCACGUUAUGGUGGGGACUCAGUGGAGACCGCCGGGGUCAACUCGGAGGAAGGUGGGGAUGACGUCAAGUCAUCAUGCCCCUUAUGUCCAGGGCUUCACGCAUGCUACAAUGGCUGGUACAGAGAGUGGCGAGCCUGUGAGGGUGAGCGAAUCUCGGAAAGCCGGUCUCAGUUCGGAUUGGGGUCUGCAACUCGACCUCAUGAAGUCGGAGUCGCUAGUAAUCGCAGAUCAGCAACGCUGCGGUGAAUACGUUCCCGGGGCUUGUACACACCGCCCGUCAAGUCAUGAAAGUUGGUAACACCCGAAGCCGGUGGCCUAACCGUUGUGGGGGAGCCGUCGAAGGUGGGACUGGUGAUUAGG